GUGAGGACUCGGGAGGUGG
rnacentral:miRNA from 3 species